UGCAUUCUGAAGAACAGCAAUUUGAGGCCUCAAGAAUAGUCUAGAUCUACAAUGAGACAACUCAGCUAAAUCAACAUAAAUCCAAUGAAGAAGAUAGGUGCAGAAUCCAUCAGAAUCUUGGGAGAGGAAAUCUGUCACUGAAUUUACCUCUAAAGAAAGCAUGCUGAUCCUGGACUACAGACCAUAACUGGAGAGGAGCUGAUUCUUGCUAGGGGGACUGUGGCCUAAUGGAAAAUCUUCAGGUAUUCCUCAGCACGCCAGGUUGUGUCACAGAGAACCCACCUAACACAGAGAACUCAGGCACUGACAGCAACAUUACUGCAGACGUGCUAUGAUUCAACAGCGGUUGCUCUUUCCCUGUGGCAUGGAGCACUCAAACGCCACUGGGUUAGGGUCUCCCUGACCGAGCUGGUCUCGGCAAGUGGCGUCCAUUCGUGGGGGCUCAAAUCCAGGUCAAAGGGUUGCCGAAGCGAUGCUUGGAACAGGAAACUAGCUGGAGGACACCCAAGUACUCUUAAAGCAGUCCCCAUGAAACUCAAAGGCAGGCAGAAGAGUGGCAAAGAUUUACAGUGUAACAGAAGGUGCUAAAAAAACAAAAACAAAACCCCCAAACCUGAUCAUCUCUCUUCAGCUGAAGUUUAAGCUCCUUCUUCCUGAAUACCUUCUCUAAUACCUUUUUGUUCAGAGAAAAGG